rnacentral:rRNA from 1 species
GAGACAGCAGCCGCCGCGGGAAUACGUAGGGUGCAAGCGUUAAUCGGAAUUACUGGGCGUAAAGCGCACGCAGGCGGUUUGUUAAGUCAGAUGUGAAAUCCCCGAGCUUAACUUGGGAACUGCAUUUGAAACUGGCAGGCUAGAGUCUCGUAGAGGGGGGUAGAAUUCCAGGUGUAGAGGUGAAAUGCGUAGAGAUCUGGAGGAAUACCGGUGGCGAAGGCGGCCCCCUGGACAAAGACUGACACUCAGGUGCGAAAGCGUGGGGAGCAAACAGGAUUAGAUACCCGUGUAGUCCCUGUCUCUUAUAC